rnacentral:rRNA from 1 species
GAGUUUGAUCCUGGCUCAGAUUGAACGCUGGCGGCAUGCCUUACACAUGCAAGUCGAGCGGCAGCGCGGGGGCAACCCUGGCGGCGAGCGGCGAACGGGUGAGUAAUACAUCGGAACGUGUCCUGUCGUGGGGGAUAACCAGUCGAAAGAUUGGCUAAUACCGCAUGACCUCGUAAGAGAAAAGCGGGGGACCGUAAGGCCUCGCGCGACUGGAGCGGCCGAUGUCGGAUUAGCUAGUUGGCGGGGUAAAAGCCCACCAAGGCGACGAUCCGUAGCUGGUUUGAGAGAACGACCAGCCACACUGGGACUGAGACACGGCCCAGACUCCUACGGGAGGCAGCAGUGGGGAAUUUUGGACAAUGGGGGCAACCCUGAUCCAGCCAUGCCGCGUGUGUGAAGAAGGCCUUCGGUUGUAAG